GACCUCAUGGCUUAGCGGUUAUAGCACCGGCUUACCUUUAUGCCUUGUUAGAAAUAGUUAUGCCGUCGGCGUGGGUUCGAAUCCCACUGAGGUCA